rnacentral:tRNA from 1 species
CGCGGGAUAGAGCAGUUGGUAGCUCGUCGGGCUCAUAACCCGAAGGUCGUUGGUUCAAAUCCGGCUCCCGCAACCA